CGGCGAACGGGUGAGUAACGCGUGGAUAACCUGCCCUGAGGUGGGGGAUAACCAAGGGAAACUUUGGCUAAUACCGCAUGGCACCGAGAGGUCAAAGGGGGCUCGCAAGGGCUCUCGCCAUAGGAGGGGUCCGCGUCCGAUUAGCUAGUUGGUAGGGUAAUGGCCUACCAAGGCGACGAUCGGUAGCCGGCCUGAGAGGGUGAUCGGCCACACUGGAACUGAGACACGGUCCAG
rnacentral:rRNA from 1 species